GUGAACGCUGGCGGUAGGCCUAACACAUGCAAGUCGAACGGCAGCACAGUAAGCGCUUGCUCUUACGGGUGGCGAGUGGCGGACGGGUGAGGAAUACAUCGGAAUCUACUUUUUCGUGGGGGAUAACGUAGGGAAACUUACGCUAAUACCGCAUACGACCUACGGGUGAAAGCAGGGGAUCUUCGGACCUUGCGCGAUUGAAUGAGCCGAUGUCGGAUUAGCUAGUUGGCGGGGUAAAGGCCCACCAAGGCGACGAUCCGUAGCUGGUCUGAGAGGAUGAUCAGCCACACUGGAACUGAGACACGGUCCAGACUCCUACGGGAGGCAGCAGUGGGGAAUAUUGGACAAUGGGCGCAAGCCUGAUCCAGCCAUACCGCGUGGGUGAAGAAGGCCUUCGGGUUGUAAAGCCCUUUUGUUGGGAAAGAAAAGCAGCAGGUUAAUACCCCGCUGUUCUGACGGUACCCAAAGAAUAAGCACCGGCUAACUUCGUG
rnacentral:rRNA from 1 species